rnacentral:rRNA from 1 species
AGAGUUUGAUCAUGGCUCAGGACGAACGCUGGCGGCGUGCCUAACACAUGCAAGUCGAACGAAGUAUAUUUUCGGAUAUGCUUAGUGGCGGACUGGUGAGUAACGCGUGAACAAUCUGCCCUGUACACAGGAAUAGCCUCGGGAAACUGGGAUUAAAACCGGAUAACACUUUCUGGCCGCAUGGCUGGGAAGUCAAAUUGAUUUAGAGGUACAGGAUGAGUUCGCGUCUGAUUAGCUAGUUGGUGAGGUAACGGCUCACCAAGGCGACGAUCAGUAGCCGGCCUGAGAGGGUGAACGGCCACACUGGAACUGAGACACGGUCCGGACUCCUACGGGAGGCAGCAGUGGGGAAUAUUGCACAAUGGAGGAAACUCUGAUGCAGCGACGCCGCGUGAGUGAAGAAGGUCUUCGGAUCGUAAAACUCUGUCCUUGGUGACGAAAAAAAUGACGGUAGCCAAGGAGGAAGCCCCGGCUAACUACGUGCCAGCAGCCGCGGUAAUACGUAGGGGGCGAGCGUUGUCCGGAUUUACUGGGCGUAAAGGGUGAGUAGGCGGUAAUAUGUGUCAGAUGUAAAAGGCUAUGGCUUAACCAUAGUUGGCAUUUGAAACUGUAUUACUUGAGUGCAGGAGAGGUAAGUGGAAUUCCUAGUGUAGCGGUGAAAUGCGUAGAUAUUAGGAGGAACACCAGUGGCGAAGGCGACUUACUGGACUGUAACUGACGCUGAGUCACGAAAGCGUGGGUAGCAAACAGGAUUAGAUACCCUGGUAGUCCACGCUGUAAACGAUGAGUGCUAGGUGUUGGGUAGCGAUAUUCAGUGCCGAAGUAAACACAAUAAGCACUCCGCCUGGGGAGUACGGUCGCAAGACUGAACUCAAAUGAAUUGACGG